GACAGAGGAUGCAAGCGUUAUCCGGAAUGAUUGGGCGUAAAGCGUCUGUAGGUGGCUUUUUAAGUCUGCCGUCAAAUCCCAGGGCUUAACCCUGGACAGGCGGUGGAAACUACCAAGCUGGAGUACGGUAGGGGCAGAGGGAAUUUCCGGUGGAGCGGUGAAAUGCGUAGAGAUCUGGAGGAAUACCGGUGGCGAAGGCGGCAUCCUGGACCGACAUUGACGCUGAUGAGCGAAAGCUAGGGGAGCAAACGGG
rnacentral:rRNA from 1 species